rnacentral:tRNA from 1 species
CAAAGAAUAGUUUAAUUUAGAAUUCUGGCUUUGGGAGCCAGGGGUGGGAGUUAAAAUCUCCCUUCUUUGA